rnacentral:ncRNA from 2 species
GAAAAUCUUCAGGGCAAGGUGAUUUCUUUCCUUUAGUAGAAGGAAAGAAAAAUUCCUGACCGGCGGUAAAAGUCCGCGACUUCUCCGUUACGCAUACGGGGAACUGAUAUGGUGCAAAUCCAUAACCGACAGUAAAGUCUGGAUGAAAGAGGAUGCUG